rnacentral:rRNA from 1 species
GCUGCACGCUGGCGGCGUGCCUUACAACAUGCAAGUCGAACGGAUCUUUAACGCUGAUUAGGCUUCGGCGGAAUCUUGUUAAAUCUUAGUGGCGGACGGGUUGAAUAACGCGUGGGCAACCUGCCUCGUACUGGGGGAAUACAGUUGGAAACGACUGUUAAUACCGCAUAAGCGCACAGAGUCGCAUGACUCAGUGUGAAAAACUCCGGUGGCAUACGAUGGACCCGCGUCUGAUUAGGCAGUUGGCGAGGUAACGGCUCACCAAACCUACGAUCAGUANCCGGACUGAGAGGUCGGACGGCCACAUUGGGACUGAGACACGGCCCAAACUCCUACGGGAGGCAGCAGUGGGGGAUAUUGCACAAUGGANGAAACUCUGAUGCAGCGACGCCGCGUGAGUGAAGAGUAUUUCGUAAUGUAAGCUCUAUCAGCAGGGAAGAAAGACUCGCAAGAGAGAUGACGUAACCUGACUAAGAAGCCCCGGCUAAUUACGUGCCAGCAGCCGCGGUAAUACGUAGGGGGCAAGCGUUAUCCGGAUUUACUGGGUGUAAAGGGAGCGCAGACGGUUAUGCAAUUCUGAAGUGAAACCCCACGGCUCAACCGUGGGCUUGCUUUGGAAACUGUAUAACUAGAGUACUGGAGAGGUAAGCGGAAUUCCUAGUGUAGCGGUGAAAUGCGUAGUGAUUAGGAGGAACAUCGGUGGCGAAGGCGGCUUACUGGACAGCAACUGACGUUGAGGCUCGAAGGCUUGGGGAGCAAACAGGAUGAGAGACCCUGGGAGACCCCUGGAUAUCCAGCACAAUGUCGUCCGUGCCAGAGGAGAGCCGUGCGCGGAUCCAAGCUGGUUGCUGAGCUGGUAGAGGCGAACUCUGAACGAGCCGAUCCGUCUGGGAAUUCCGU